AGACUAUCAAGCCUGGCUUGGUCUUGGGCGCGGUCUUGAGACCCGCCCGCAACUCGUCGGCGGUGCCGGUUCGGUCCUGAGCGUAGCAGAGAUACUCGCUCCGGGGUCGCGACGGCGCCCGCCAGUAGUUUUUACCUACGGU
rnacentral:misc_RNA from 1 species